rnacentral:rRNA from 1 species
GAUAAACGCUAGCGGCAGGCUUAACACAUGCAAGUCGAGGGGCAGCAUAGAUUGUAGCAAUACAAUUGGUGGCGACCGGCGCACGGGUGCGUAACGCGUAUGCAACCUACCCGUCACAGGGGGAUAAUCCGGAGAAAUCUGGUCUAAUACCCCAUAACAUAUGGAUCGGCAUCGGUUCAUGUUGAAAUUUUCGGAGGUGACGGAUGGGCAUGCGUAGCAUUAGCUUGUUGGUGAGGUAACGGCUCACCAAGGCGACGAUGCUUAGGGGGACUGAGAGGUUUUCCCCCCACACUGGGACUGAGACACGGACCAGACUCCUACGGGAGGCAGAAGUGAGGAAUAUUGGUAAAUGGGGGCAAGCCUGAACCAGCCAGGCCGCGUGCAGGAUGACGGCUCUAUGAGUUGUAAACUGCUUUUGUACGAGGGUAAAGUGGGUUACGUGUAACCUUUUGAAAGUAUCGUACGAAUAAGGAUCGGCUAACUCCGUGCCAGCCGCCGCCGUAA